rfam:Ciona savignyi cont_26873, whole genome shotgun sequence.
GUCUCUGUGGCGCAAUUGGUUAGCGCGUUCGGCUGUUAACCGAAAGGUUGCUGGUUCAAGCCCAGCCAGAGACG